UACAGAGGUCUCAAGCGUUGUUCGGAUUCAUUGGGCGUAAAGGGUGCGUAGGUGGCGCCGUAAGUCGGGUGUGAAAUUUCGGAGCUUAACUCCGAAACUGCAUUCGAUACUGCGGUGCUUGAGGACUGGAGAGGAGACUGGAAUUCAUGGUGUAGCAGUGAAAUGCGUAGAGAUCAUGAGGAAGACCAGUGGCGAAGGCGGGUCACUGGCCCGGUACUGACGCUGAGGUGCGAAAGCGUGGGGAGCAAACAGG
rnacentral:rRNA from 1 species